rnacentral:rRNA from 1 species
AGUGAACGCUGGCGGUAGGCCUAACACAUGCAAGUCGAACGGCAGCACAGUAAGAGCUUGCUCUUACGGGUGGCGAGUGGCGGACGGGUGAGGAAUACAUCGGAAUCUACUUUUUCGUGGGGGAUAACGUAGGGAAACUUACGCUAAUACCGCAUACGACCUACGGGUGAAAGCAGGGGAUCUUCGGACCUUGCGCGAUUGAAUGAGCCGAUGUCGGAUUAGCUAGUUGGCGGGGUAAAGGCCCACCAAGGCGACGAUCCGUAGCUGGUCUGAGAGGAUGACCAGCCACACUGGAACUGAGACACGGUCCAGACUCCUACGGGAGGCAGCAGUGGGGAAUAUUGGACAAUGGGCGCAAGCCUGAUCCAGCCAUACCGCGUGGGUGAAGAAGGCCUACGGGUUGUAAAGCCCUUUUGUUGGGAAAGAAAAGCAGCAGGUUAAUACCCCGCUGUUCUGACGGUACCCAAAGAAUAAGCACCGGCUAACUUCGUG